UACGUAGGGUGCAAGCGUUAAUCGGAAUUACUGGGCGUAAAGCGUGCGCAGGCGGCUCUGCAAGACAGAUGUGAAAUCCCCGGGCUCAACCUGGGAACUGCAUUUGUGACUGCAUCGCUAGAGUACGGCAGAGGGGGAUGGAAUUCCGCGUGUAGCAGUGAAAUGCGUAGAUAUGCGGAGGAACACCGAUGGCGAAGGCAAUCCCCUGGGCCUGUACUGACGCUCAUGCACGAAAGCGUGGGGAGCAAACAGG
rnacentral:rRNA from 1 species